AUGGGAGGAGACUGGGGCCCCGCGCUUGACAGCCCCCGAGAAGCAGCGGCGAAGACAGGGUCAGCAGUAGUUCGCGUUCACCAUCCUCCGGGGUCAGUCACCGGGAACGUGGCGGCCAAGUUCACCGGCGGUUCCGGCUCAAAGCGCCGAGUCGCAGCCGCAGCAGCAGCCGCCGCCGCCGCCGCCGCCGCCGCCGCCUCCAGCCCGUGCGUCCUCCUCCACCGCCCACUCCUCCUCCUCCUCCGCCGCCGCCCCCAGCUCCUGCGGGAAGGGCCUCCGCUGCUCUUCGCUAUUUCGCCUCUGCUUCUCCUUCCCUCCUCUCCUCGCUCCCCUCCAGAAUGUUCAUCCGUAAUCUACAUAACUCCUCCUUCCCGGGGUCUGCCAGGCUCUCUGCGCCCGUGGCGCGCGCGCGCGCGCGGACACACACACGCACUCACACUCACACAUACCGCGACACACACACACACCCACGAGCUUACACACAGCCCGACACACACGCACGCGCGCCUCUUAAAGGAGACGGCUCCUAAAGGCUUCCCCACUACGGUAGGGCGCACCGGAGGUAUCCAGCCGCGACCGGGACCCAGCCAGCAGAGGGGAAGAGGAGCCCACGGGAAAGAAAAGCAGGCGAGGUUAAGAAUAAAGAGUGUUCCAGGUAUGACAGCUACCUCGGUGAGGUGGAAGAGAGAAUUGACAAGGCAGAUUUCAUGGAUUAAAGACCUUGAGAUUGUUUUGACCUAUCUGGAUGGACCCUAAAUGUAAUCACAGGUGUUCCUGUAUAUAAGAAAGAGGCAGAGGGAGCUUGGCCUGCAAGGAGGAGCUGCGCGGAUGGAAGCGGACGUUGCCGGAGUGCGAGGACAGGAGCAAGGACUCUCCCCAACAGCCUCCAGGAAGGUCCAGACCUGCCCACACCUUGACUUUGGACUUCCGGCCAUCAGAAUUGGCUCAAGAUUCUGAAGACUGAGAAGUCCAAGAGUAUGGCACCAGCAUCUAGUGGGGGCCUUCAUGCUGUGUUAUCCCAUGGAGGACGCAAGAAGGGCAAAUGAGCAAGAGAGAGACCAACUCAUUUUACAAUACCCCCCCCUUCUUCAUAAUCAGGACUAAUUUUUUAAUGAGACAAAAUAUUCUCAGAACCCUUAAGACUGUUUUUUCUGAAAUUAUGGAUUUUACUUGCAUCCUGACUUCUGGUUUAGAAACUUUUAUAGUUUGAACAGAUUAACUAUCACACACUGAGGUCCAUUGUGGGGAACAAGGGGAGGGAGAGCGGGGAGUGGGUAGUAGGGGAGGGGUAACAUGGGGAGAAAUGCCAGCUAUAGGUGAUGGGGAGGAAGGCAGCAAACCACAUUGCCAUGUAGGUACUUGUGCAACAAUCCUGCAUGUUCUUCACAUGUACCCCAAAACCUAAAAUGCAAUAAAAUAAAAUAAAAUAAAAAUUCUCA
rnacentral:lncRNA from 13 species